UAAGACAAAUUUGAUGGUUGGUACAAACUUUUGACAAAUGCGGUCACGGCAUUUCAGAUCAUCCUCUAAAAUGUUGUUGCAGCACUAAAGUCUGUUUAAGGUACUGGGAGAAUGGCACCUGAAAGACAUCACAGUAAACUCUAUGCUUAUCUUGCUCUGGAGGAAUCAGUUAAAAUCCUGCAAGUCACUACCCCAUGCUGUGAAAGCUGAGCUCGAGGCUGCAGCACUGAUUAUGGACACCUCUCUUCCUCUGCCUACCAUCCACACUUCAGUGUUUCUCAUCCAGUCACAAACAUUUUCAUUAAAGAAAAGUACACAGGAUCCCUUGAAAUCUCUUU